AACGAACGCUGGCGGCAUGCCUAACACAUGCAAGUCGAACGAGAACUGCGGGUCUAGUGGUGCACGGGUGCGUACGGGGUGGGAACCUGCCCUUAGGUUCGGAAUAACUCCCCGAAAGGGGUGCUAAUCUCGGAUAAUGUCUCCGGACCAAAGAUUUAUAGCCUUUGGAGGGGCCCGCAUUGGCUUAGCUUGUUGGUAGGGUAAAAGCCUACCACGGCGACGAUCCAUAGCUGGUUUGAGAGAAUGAGCAGCCACACUUGGACGGAGACACGGCCCGGACUUCUGCACGAUGCAGCAGUGGGUAAUAUUGCACAGUGGGCGGAAGCCUGAUCCAGCAAUGCCGCGUGAGUGGUUAAGUCCGGAGGGUUGUAAAGCUCGUUUACCCGGGAUGAUGAUGACAGUACCGGGAGAAUAAGCUCCGGCUAACUCCGUG
rnacentral:rRNA from 1 species